AAGAUCUCCAUCAGCCUCUUCAGAGACCUGAUGAAGAUGGUGGUGCGGAACAACAAGAGGGAGAUGAAGAACACGGUGCAAUGUGGCCUGCUCCCUCUCUUCUUCCGCAUGAGUGACCAAGUGCAGAGCGUGGCCAAGGUACAGAUUUCAAAGCUGAGCAGUAAUGCAGGGAAGAGACCCCUGGGCGUUUGGGCCAGGGCAUGUCCCCACUCCCUAAGGGCAGAAUCGCCCCAGGAACAAAGCCCAGAGCAAGGGGACACCAGGUCUCCUGCCCCAACCGUGGUGCCAUCUCCCAGCUUCUCCUGUUCCACAGGCCGCUGGGGAAGCCCUCCUCGGUGCAGCAGAGCUGCUCAGGUGGAAACAGCUCAAACAGCUGGUGCAGACAGAGCAGACAUGGCGGAUUGGAGAGAGCUUGCUGGAGCGGGACAGGAGCAGAGCUCAAGAGCUCUUGAGUCAGAGCCUGCCGUACCUGAGGGAUGCUCAGGCCAGCUCACGAGAGGCGGCCGUGAGGUUCAUCGGUGAGUCACAGCCCCCAGGUCCCUCUUUCGGCAGCCUGGCCCCAGUCCCCGCCGCUGCUCUGGCACAAGGAGCAGCCCUGUGGCUGCCAGAGCCCCAGCUGCCCCGUGCAGGGCCUUGGCCUCCCCUCCCAGCCCUGCCCACGCAGGUGGCCUUGGUGGCCACCUUGCCCGGUGCCACCAUCUCGGCUCCUGCUCUCCCCUGGGCUCAGCCCUGGUGAGGGGAGGGAGCAGGGGCUGACGGAACUCUGUGCCCAGGGCUGGCUGCGCGGCCCCUGAGGGACCGAAGGGAGGAGGAGGAGCUGGCUGAGAUCUGCAGCGCCCUUCAGCCCUUGGAGCAGGACAGUGAACCCUCCAUCUGCUCCCUGGCAGCCCAGACCAUCCGCAUCCUGGGCAACCCAAGGGAGCAGCCACGAUCGCGAUGGACCCUGCGAGGCCUGUGCUGCUGGCCCCGCUAAACCCAGCGGAGGUGCAGCUCUUCUCGGGAGGAGGGCUGGAUUUAAUAAAGCUGGAGGAGAAUGCCAAAGCCCUGGUGUCCUUCAGCUGUGCAGCGCCCUGAGCGUGCUGAGCAGACGGUGUCGUUCCUGGGCUCUCCCGCUGCCGCAGGACGUCUGUCCCUCAGCACAGCCUGGUUCCAGGUGUAGUUACGGUGCCGGCGGGCGGGCGCUUGCUGGCCCCCAGGCCCUGCCCUGCAGGGGGAGGCAGAAGGCCGUGCGGGCAUGGGGGCAGCAAAGACACGCAGUUAUACAGCAGGGCUGGUCCCAGCGCCCCAGGAGCUGUUUCCCACUGUUUGCCCUCAGCUCCCGCCAUCCCCCGAGGGUUUCCAC